UCCUUGUAGCAACAUGGAGAACUGUUAAAGUAAACCUUUAGUUGUGAGUGCAAAUCUAAUGUUGUGAAGAAACAAAGAUAACUAUUGAAUGGAUGUUCAGGGAUUCUCAAGAGAGGCAUCUUACCUGCAGGUCACAUACAAAGUACCUUAAGAUUUCCGGAAGAUAACAUCUGAAAUGAGUGUUUUCCUUUGCUCCAGUUCUGUCAAGCUGAUCUACAGCAAGUUAUGAUCUGAGCCACUGAAUCUUUAGUUAUAUAUUGCAAGACAGCCCAGAAGAAGUUAGUUUUAUUAAAGUCUGGAGCCAUGAGAAAACCUGCCAUGCAGAUGUGAUCGCACAAAAAGCAGCAGCCUCUACUACCCCCAGCAACAGAAUGACUACAAAAAUGUGAACACGGUUUAUAGUCCAUCCCCCUGGGGAAGAGAAGAGAGAAGCCACCACACCAGUGGGGGCAGAGCAGCUUGCACAAGGGGCAGGGAAAGAAGUCAUUCUCCUAUGCACAAAGGAAAGAGAAUGUAUUUUAUAGCAUUUCAGAGAUUCCAUGUUCCAUGCAAAUCAGCCUCGUGCCAAAAAGUAAAAAUAA